rnacentral:piRNA from 1 species
UACCAGGUGCACUCCCGCCCUAUGCGGAGU